AUGAGGGUGCAGCUCUUACGGAUUGAAUUAGUGCCCUUAUUUUUUUCAAGAAAUAAAAAAAGUCCCCAGAGAGCUGCCUUGUACUUUUACCAUGUGAGAAUACAGCAAGAAAGUAUCAUCUAUGAUCCAGGAAGUGGGCCCUUACCAGACACCGAAUCUGCUGGUGCUUUGAUCUUGAAACUACCAGUCUCCAGAACUAGAAGAGGCCUCACAGGCAAGAAGAACAUGAGAACACGGAUGCUCCCAGGGUCCCUGGAAAAAUGCCAUCAAAAUCUAGUGUACGUCUGUAACAAAGACAGUUUACUGUUCCAAGAGUCUGCAUGUUUCACCUAAUAAAGAGUCAUAUGAACAUAAGGAAGCUCUGGUCUCAAGCUAUAAAUGUGUUUGCUCACUGGGUGCCUGACUGAAAGACAGACUGUGCUUCCUGAACAAACCAGAAACAUACAAAACAAAUCCUCCCUGAAUACAUAGGACCCAAAGUGAUUUCUCAAGAUGCUUGUUUCCUUUCACAAGUAGUCCUAGGUCAUAUGCCUUAUAUUCAGAGUGGUCCUGGUACUCUCCCGGCUUCCUAGGACACCACAGCUCAACAUCCUUUCAGUUUCACUGUCCAGGGGCCUAGCAUGCUCAUUUCCUCUCUAAAUCCCUUGACUCUCAAAAAUAUCCCUAACACAUUUACAGUUUACAAAGUGUUUCCGCAUGUCGUCAUUUAAUUCUUGUAAGUACUCUGUGAGAUGACAGAGAUUCAGUCAUUCAUUCAUUCAGCAAGCACGAAUCAAGGGCUAGGUACCAUGCCAGGCCCUGGGGAGACAAAGCUGGCUGAGAAGUGCUGCUCACAUUUGUGGAGCUUGCAGACCACCAAGGGAAAUAGACGAUGCCCAGGCCUAGGUGCCAUGGUAGGAGGGCACCAUAAGUUAAGAGAGCACAGCGGCAGCCCAUUCUGGCUCAGGAGAACCAGGGAGGUUUCCUGAGGAAUAUGGUCUCGUUCCUGAUGGGAGAGUCAGAGCUGAACAGGCAAAGAAGGGGGACAAAGGAAGGCCAAGUAAGCAGCAGGGCAUUCAAGUUAUAAAAGAGAAUGUGUAUCCAAAUGUGGUGCUUUGAGCAGCUGAGUGUGGCUUGAAGUAGAGUGUGAAGUAUGGGAAGGGAGGUGGACAGGAGAUAAAUCCAGAGAGGAACUUGGGGCCAGAUCACAGGUGAGUAGAUUUCAGGACAUGGUAAGGAAAUUGCAUUUUUACCCUAGGGAAAUAAAUAGGUAAUUGCAAAGGGUUUUAAGUAAGGCAGGUACAUGGAUUAGCUGUGCAGCUUAGAAAGAGUAAUUCAGGAUGACUGGGCGCAGUGGCUCAUGCCUGUAAUCCCAGCACUUUGGGAGGCCAAGGUGGGCCGAUCACUUGAGGUCAGGAGUUCAAGACCAGCCUGGCCAAUAUAGCGAAAUUCUGUCUCUAUUAGAAAUACAAAAAUUAACCAGGCAUGGUGGCAUGCACCUGUAAUCCCAGUUACUCAGGAGGCUGAGGCAGGAGAAUCACUUGAACCCAAAAGGCAGAGGUUGCAAUGAACAGAGAUUACAUAACUGCACUCCAGCCUGGGCAACAGAGGGAGACUCUAUCUCAAAAAAAAAGAAUACUAAUUAGGCAGAGCAGAUCCUGGACUGAGGGGUGAGCUGGGAAGAUUCUGAAUAGUCCAGGAG
rnacentral:lncRNA from 1 species